CGUCUGUGCUUUGGUUACAUGCAUGGUGGGGCGCAGGAAGCCGUCUGAACCCUUCGGGGGGACGACGGUGGAAUGAGCGGCGGACGGGUGAGUAACACGUAAAGAACCUGCCCAUAGGUCUGGGAUAACCACGAGAAAUCGGGGCUAAUACCGGAUGUGUCAUCGGACCGCAUGGUCCGAUGAUGAAAGGCGCUCCGGCGUCGCCCAUGGAUGGCUUUGCGGUGCAUUAGCUAGUUGGUGGGGUAACGGCCCACCAAGGCGACGAUGCAUAGCCGACCUGAGAGGGUGAUCGGCCACACUGGGACUGAGACACGGCCCAGACUCCUACGGGAGGCAGCAGUAGGGAAUCUUCCACAAUGGACGAAAGUCUGAUGGAGCAACGCCGCGUGAACGAUGAAGGCUUUCGGGUCGUAAAGUUCUGUUGUAAGGGAAGAACAAGUGCCGCCGGCAAUGGCGGCCCCUUGACUGUACCUUGCGAGAAAGCCACGGCUAACUACGUGCCCUCCGCCUCGGUCAUACGUAGGUGGCAAUCGUUGUCCGGAAUUAUUUGGCUUAAAUUGCUUGCAGGCGCUUCUUAAGUCUUAUGUUAAAGC
rnacentral:rRNA from 1 species